rnacentral:misc_RNA from 1 species
CCUCCGUUGGUGAACCAGCGGAGGGAACAUUACCGAGUUUACAACUCCCACACCCCUGUGAACAUACCUGUUUUGUUGCUUCGGCGGUGCCCUCGCUCUCGCGGCGAGGCCCGCCAGAGGACCCAAACAAACUCUUUGACUUUGAUCUAGGAUUAUACUUCUGAGUGAUACAAAAAAUAAAAUCAAAACUUUCAACAACGGAUCUCUUGGUUCUG